CCUACGGGAGGCAGCAGUGAGGAAUAUUGGUCAAUGGCCGUAAGGCUGAACCAGCCAAGUCGCGUGAAGGAAGAAGGAUCUAUGGUUUGUAAACUUCUUUUAUAGGGGAAUAAAGGUAUCCACGUGUGGAUAUUUGCAUGUACCCUAUGAAUAAGCAUCGGCUAACUCCGUGCCAGCAGCCGCGGUAAUACGGAGGAUGCGAGCGUUAUCCGGAUUUAGUGGGUUUAAAGGGUGCGUAGGUUGUUUGUUAAGUCAGCGGUGAAAGUUUGUGGCUCAACCAUAAAAUUGCCGUUGAAACUGGAAGACUUGAGUGUGUUUGAGGUAGGCGGAAUGCGUGGUGUAGCGGUGAAAUGCAUAGAUAUCACGCAGAACUCCGAUGGCGAAGGCAGCUUACUAAGCCAUAACUGACACUGAAGCACGAAGGCGUGGGGAUCAAACAGGAUUAGAUACCCCGGUAGUC
rnacentral:rRNA from 1 species